GAUGAACGCUGGCGGCGUGCCUAAUACAUGCAAGUCGAGCGAACAGACGAGGAGCUUGCUCCUCUGACGUUAGCGGCGGACGGGUGAGUAACACGUGGAUAACCUACCUAUAAUACUGGGAUAACUUCGGGAAACCGGAGCUAAUACCGGAUAAUAUAUUGAACCGCAUGGUUCAAUAGUGAAAGACGGUUUUGCUGUCACUUUUAGAUGGAUCCGCGCCGCAUUAGCUAGUUGGUAAGGUAACGGCUUACCAAGGCUACGAUGCGUAGCCGACCUGAGAGGGUGAUCGGCCACACUGGAACUGAGACACGGUCCAGACUCCUACGGGAGGCAGCAGUAGGGAAUCUUCCGCAAUGGGCGAAAGCCUGACGGAGCAACGCCGCGUGAGUGAUGAAGGUCUUCGGAUCGUAAAACUCUGUUAUUAGGGAAGAACAAAUGUGUAAGUAACUAUGCACGUCUUGACGGUACCUAAUCAGAAAGCCACGGCUAACUACGUG
rnacentral:rRNA from 1 species